UACGUAGGGUGCGAGCGUUGUCCGGAAUUACUGGGCGUAAAGAGCUCGUAGGUGGUUUGUCGCGUUGUCCGUGAAAACUCACAACUCAAUUGUGGGCGUGCGGGCGAUACGGGCAGACUGGAGUACUGCAGGGGAGACUGGAAUUCCUGGUGUAGCGGUGGAAUGCGCAGAUAUCAGGAGGAACACCGAUUGCGAAGGCAGCUCGCUGGGACGUAACUGACGCUGAGACGCGAAAGCGUGGGGAGCAAACAGG
rnacentral:rRNA from 1 species